ACUAUUGUUCCAUCUUCCAGCAUAGUGGGCGUCAUUACGUGGGAGAUAGAGGGAGUUAUCAGGAAUGCUCAACCUGACCUCCGGUAAUGGUCCUAAUAACCGUCUGUUUGUUCCCGAUUCUGUGCACUCCCAGGUUCUUCAGUGGGUCCAUGCCUCUCAAUUUGCCUGCCUCCCAGGGGUUAACCAGACACUGUCCCUGCUUCGGCGUCACUUUGGUGGUCUUCGAUGGAGGUCGAUUCCUGUGCCUUUGUGCUUGCCUGCACGGUCUGCGCCCAUAGCAAACCUUCCUACCAGGCUUCCACCGGUUUGCUUCGGCCCCUCCCAGUUCCUAGUCGCCCGUGGAGCUCAGAAUCCCUCAUGGAGUGGUCAUCUUCCCUGGAUCGAGUAUGCCCACAACUCACUCUCCGGCGCAGCCAUGGCCUUCAGCAGCUGAUCCCACUCAACUCAACUCCAAUCUGCUCACCUGUCUACAAUCAUCUCAUCCCAGCACAGUUUAUCUACCCCAGUCUUCCAGCCAUUCAUCGCCAGAUUGUUGUUUCAACUACCCCGGUGGCCUAGAUCUCGGCCGCUCAGUAUAUUCUGCCAGAGUUUACCUUGUGUUCUUUGGUAACGUGUAACUUGCUCUUUCCAGGAUCACUACUCGCCUUGUCGCUCGACUCCUCUGUUUGCCUGCCUGCCCUGCCAUUUCCUCUCACUGUCUUGCCUAGUGUGGAGUAUCGUGUUAAAUUAACUAUUUAAACAUACUCAGCUUCCAGAGUCUGGUGUUCUCGUUCCGGGUUUCUCCUGGACGUACAUAUAACACAAUUCUUGUUAUGAAGAUUAAGUGUGUGUAGUAGUGAUCACACACCUAUCCAUAAAGCUAUGAUCAGGCUCAUGAAAAUGUAGAACAGACCAAAUGCUUAAAUACAUGAAAACAGUUUGUGCAUUAAUUAAUGAUGGCACACAGGUUUAAAACAGGCUGGAUUUUUGACAAUCAAUACAAUCAAAAAUCAUUUACAAAGUACCCCUGAGGACAGUACAAUAAAAAUAUUGAGAAAAUAAAUGAAUCAAUAAAGAAAGGGAAAAAAAUAAAACAAAUUGAAUAACAAAAAUCAAAAAAAAUAUUUUAAUGCAAUCUAUUAAUGCAAAGACAAAAAAACAUUAACAAUUCAAACAACAAGGGCAGAAUAACAAAUAUUAACAACUGGUAUGAAUAGCAAAGCAUAUGGUGUCCAUCCACAAUAUCAUGUUUCUUUUCUCCGCAGUUAAAUCAUAGGCUGUGUACAUAAAGAUAUUUCAUUUAUUCAUAUUUCAUACAGAAUCUCAAGAUGUUUCUUUUUAAUCAUUUCAGAUUAAGGACUUUCUUCCCACAACAAUUAGUGUUGUAUUGAUCGGUUCUACAAUACAGUCUAUAAUUUAAUUAUAUCAAGAUGCUGUGAUUUACAUGAGAAUGAAAUUUAAAUUGACGCCCAUCUUCAAUACACCCAUUUACUAAUUCUAUUUAACAAUGUUUGUUAUGGAUUCCCAGCAGGAUUUAUUAUCGUCAGAUAUUUUACGAAAUAAUUUCCAUUAUUGCCAAAUCAGCACAUCAGUCUAGCUCUAUGACACAUAACACUCUGGCUGCAUAUUUCUUUCCCCUUUGGCCUUCAUUGACUGUUGACACAACAGCAGAUAGUCUGCGGCGGGCUGCUCGGCGUGUUCCAACUUGUCUCCAGAACAAUACUGGCUUCAGUGCCUGGUGACUGGGUGUUGUUGCGGCAGGAAGGACUCGCAGAUGGGGGAUUAUGGGCGGAUCGUGAUUAGAAAUACAUUUUAAAAAGAGGCUUUCAGAGAACUGCAGGACGUCCCAGUGGGAACGUGGACCUCUGAGGUGGUUGUUGUGAGUCGGGACCCUUGAGAUGGGAAGCUGCCUCUAUUUCCUGCCAGUUACAUUCAGUACAGACUGUUGCACCUUGCUGCUCUGCCCUAACACUCAUCUGUAUUUCUGAAGCCUCGCUCCUCCCGCUCAUUCCUCCGGGAGUUUCAAAAAAGCGAUGUCAUCGAGCAGAAUUUUAUCCAGUUGCAUUUGGCAAAUGAUAUCGUCCCGUAUGUGUAUGAAAUAUAAGCCAUGCCUGAAGUGCACUUUUUAGUUUGUAUUGAAGGGAUGCAAAUUUCCCACAUCUCCACGUUUUUAUUUACUGCCAACACCUGAAUACAAUAAAGGUGAAUGGAAUUUAGAUUGUGGUGCACACAGCACUUUUCUCUUUGGAC